UCACUGCCUUUCAUCACAAUACCCAUCAAAAAUUCAGAGCAAGGCUCACCAUUCGCUCAUAAUGAUUUGAGUUUACCAAAGAUACACGUCAAUCUUUCUUCACUAAUCGUAGGAGGAUUAGUAUUCUUAGUAACAACUUUUAUUUCGCCUCUUCUCAACAAAUCCGGUUCAUACCACAGAUCAUCUAGAGUUUCAGAUAACAUUGAACCUAAUCCAUUUAUGGAAUUCAGUAAACAAAUAAUGGAGAAAAACGCGGGCUGUCUCGAAAGAUUUGCAUGUGUAUCAAGUCAGCAGAAACAUGACAUGCAAUAUUUAAAAACGAUGAAACGAAUUAUGAGGAACGAACUCCUUACUUCAAUGUUAAACACUACAGCCUUGGAAGAGGCUUCUAGCAGAGGCUUACGAGGGUACGACUGCCUUGGAUAUGGGCCUUGUGCUUUAAAUAAAGAGGACUUUAUUACAAUCAUGGAUAACCUCGUUGCAUAUCAAAAGCUGAAUAAAACUUAAUCCAAUCUUUAAAUCUGCCCUAUACAAAAAUAUUAGUUAAAGUAAAAAAAAAGAGAAUGCUC